rnacentral:rRNA from 1 species
GACGAACGCUGGCGGCGUGCCUAACACAUGCAAGUCGAACGGAAAGGCCCUGCUUUUGUGGGGUGCUCGAGUGGCGAACGGGUGAGUAACACGUGAGUAACCUGCCCUUGACUUUGGGAUAACUUCAGGAAACUGGGGCUAAUACCGGAUAGGAGCUCCUGCUGCAUGGUGGGAGUUGGAAAGUUUCGGCGGUUGGGGAUGGACUCGCGGCUUAUCAGCUUGUUGGUGGGGUAGUGGCUUACCAAGGCUUUGACGGGUAGCCGGCCUGAGAGGGUGACCGGCCACAUUGGGACUGAGAUACGGCCCAGACUCCUACGGGAGGCAGCAGUGGGGAAUAUUGCACAAUGGGCGGAAGCCUGAUGCAGCAACGCCGCGUGCGGGAUGACGGCCUUCGGGUUGUAAACCGCUUUCGCCUGUGACGAAGCGUGAGUGACGGUAAUGGGUAAAGAAGCACCGGCUAACUACGUG